rnacentral:sRNA from 1 species
AUAUAUUCUUGAAAUACUAUUGAUUUUUUAUUUAGAUUUUUUUUUUAGAAACUUCAUUAUCGGAUCGUGUUGGUUGGCAAAUAUCCAACAAAUAUUUUAGAUACAAAUAAUAUAAAAAUGUCGAGAAAAUAAAUUAGUGAGUGCAUAUUUUGUCCAUUCACCAAAAUAAACUCAGUUACGUAUGUACCAGUGAGAGCAUGUUUUGUACAUGAACCUUUUUUAUACUCUGUAGCUCAAUAACUAUAAAGGACUUUUCUCGUGUACCAAUUCAUGAGACAUGUACUUGAGCUCUAAGACAGUUAUCAAGAAUAGAGUACCGGUUUCUAUGUCUCUGCGCCAUAUGCCCACAGCUCCCAUGCCUGGUGUAAUCCAGCAAUGCUUAAAGCUUGCUAGCUGUAAUGAAUGUUCCUUCAAUCCUUCACAAGAAGAAAGCCAGGUUGGACUAACUAGGCUAUCUUAAAAUAUACGAUCAAGAGAUUUAUAUUCCAGCUGAGAAUAAAAGAAACCUGGCUUAAGUCACCCGUAGUCUCAUCCAAUGUGUUGUACUGUUUUUAAAUGUCUUGAAGGAUCUUGCGCUGCAACCAAGUCUGACCCUUUCACAUUUUGAUCAGGUUACUUGUGUGUUUCGCACUUUCUAAAAACUUCAUCCAAUACAUGAAGCAUGGCGUUAUAGCUCUCUUCAGAUAAAGAUGGCUCCUUACUCAAUUUCAAAGAACGGACACAGAGAUCUGUGCCACCGUUGAGAUACUAAGAAUAUAAUUUCUCUAUAUUUUUGCAUCUUUUAUCACAGUUGACACAUACUGAGAAGGGAUACUAAGAAUUUAAGUUAUUUUUCUUUGAAUAUAAAAUAAAUGUGGAUUACU